rnacentral:lncRNA from 1 species
UUAAAAGAAAUAUCCUGGUUUGUCAUUUCAAACCCAGUUUGUCAAAAUCUGUAUUUGGCAGUGUAAAAUAUGUUAUUUUACAAAGGACACAUGCAAGAGGUUUUUGUUCUGACACGUUUCACAGUGUGAAUCCGCUAACGUUUGGAAAAGCCAUCAGACUCACAGUAAAUUCAAACAAAAGUCCUGUCCGCCCAACACUGUCCAUCCUCACCCCAGGUGGGACUGAGGGUGGCAGUCCUGAGGUGUGCCUGGCAGCAGGCUUCUUACCCAAGGAUGAAGUCAUGAAUCUGACCCAUGUGAAAAAGGGUCCUUUGAGCCACAGGACAAUCACUGCAGCUUUGUCAAGUAGUAAUACCUUCUACUAUGCGGGAUACUCCGAAGACCGUAUAGAGAACUGUGAGAUGAUGAACGUUAAGGCUGAGAGAACGAAGAGUACCAGUGAUGAUGAUGGAACAAAGAGUACCAGUGAUAAUGACCCUACCAAAGGUGUGUGUUACUGUAAUUAUCUAUAUAUGAAAUAAAUACAUACAAUUUACAGUAUUUUGAACAAUUGUAAUUGACUCAUAAUUACUUAAUUGGCUUUCAGGUAGUGACAUAGCUGUUCCUACUUCGGUCGUUUGCAAAGAUGAGGAACCCCCCUCUGAUCAAACUGAUACCAACUAUCCCAGUUAGUGAUACAUUUAAUUAUUAAACACUUAAUUAAUUAAACACAUUAUUUCUGUAAUGGGUAUGUGUGUCCAACGUUUUGACUGGUACAAUACAUAUUACAAUUAAUUCACACAACUUUGUUUCUUACAGAUUACACAAAGGUGAACUUCACAUCACUAGUUGUGUAUGGUUUAAGAGUUCUGUUUGCCAAAGCCGUGGCAUUCAAUGUGUUAUUUACUGUCAAGGCCCUUGUGUUCUAGGUAAGUGGACUUAACUUUGUUUAUGUGUGGCAGAUUGUUGACAUGAAUUAAUGAAAUUUCAAACCAAUAUAAUAAAAUCCUUCUAUCCCUUACUAUUCUGUUUACAGACCUAUUUGGACUGCACAUAAUCAGUUCUAAUUUCCUUCCACGUUUGGUUUGUCAAUAGCUUUUUUCCAAAAUAUAAUUAUUUAGUGAUUUUCUCUGUGUUGAAUGCUGUAAUGCUCCCUGCUUGCAAUUUGGAAAUACUAGAGACACGUACUGAAAAAAAUUUAUUGUGAAUAUUUCUAUUUACUUUUAUUAUUAUUGUAUUAUUUGUAUUUUAAGUACAUGAAUGCUUUGCAGUUUGUUUUGAAAUGUACAAAGCCUGCCACUAGAGAACCCUAACCACGUUUUCACCAGUACAUUGAAACAGUCAAACCAUAUUAACAGAUUAAGAUCUUUCAGACACCUUGACUUCCAAGAAAUGGCUCCAACUGUUACUUUAUUCGCAUGCGUGCUUGAGCAGUAAGAAGCAUGCAUUAGUGACAAACACAUAGAAUGGAAAUCAACAGUCUACACGUCCUUAUUGAAAAUGCAGCUGGUUUUUAAUUAAUGCUGUAAUCAAAACAAAUAAUGUCAUACUUUUUAGCCAACAACAUUUAAGUGAAUAACAUUUUAAUUUAACAUCAACCCAACCAACCUGCAUUUUAAAUUGUGCCCAGUAGUCAUGUUGAAAAGUAAUAUAAUUCUCUAACUUUCUGGCAUAGGGCAGAAGGGUUUGUGCCAAAAUCUUCUUUUAAAUGAUAUCUGGAACGAUCCUGACCAGAGACCUUGCCUGACAUUAGGUGCUGUGUACUCUGUGUCAUGAGCCGUGUUGGCUUUAUGAAACAUAUCUUUUGGAAUUUAAGGUAAAAACUUUCUACCGUCCAAUAAUCAGUUUUGAGAGAUCAAUGUGUCCUCUUGCAAAAUGUAAAAGGAUUGGGUGUUCUUUUUUAUGGCUUUUGUCUUGCAAUUGGUUGUAACAUGCAGGGCAAGUUCAGUUCCUGCCGUAAAUCCCUGCUGCUCAUUUAAGGUUGCCAUGGGCCAUAUAGUACACUCCCUGAUGAGCUUUCUCUUUGCCCUGAAAUAUAAUUUGGUGGGACCUGCCUGUCAUCCUGCCUCCACUUCUUAAUGGCGGUCUUCACAGUUUUCCAUUAUAGAGAGUGUAAUGUCCUCAUCAUUUUUUGAUAUUCCUUUCCUGAUGUGUACCUUGUUAUGGUGCAUCUGUCUUACACUGAGCUCUACUGGUUGGACUUAUCAUUUCAAUCACAACUUUCAACAAUAAGACCUCUAGGACUUUUGUUAGCUCCUUGUGGACCAUGGCUAUCUCUGAAGUAUACUAGCAACAAACCUUGAAGUUUUAAAGCAAACCAACUGGAACAGCUUCUUUUAUUUUUGGCAAGUCAGAAUCGCUUUAAUUCAUUACCGUUGUCCAUUUCCAUAAACAACCGCUGCAUUGUCAGUAAAGAUGUGUAUACCUUUGAUAUCCACUGUACCAUAUAAUUGUUGAUCUGUGGCAAUAUUAAAAUACUGCAAUAUCAUACGCGCCAGACCUCAGCCCAACAUUUUAUAAUCACAUGGGAUUUGUAAAUGUAGGCUAUGGAAAUAUAUACUGUAUGUUUUUUAUUAUUGUAAAGCAUGAUACAUUUUGAUAAGGUGAAUGUCUAUUGACUGAUGUUAGUGGAAAAUAGGAUGGAAACCAGUCACGCUACCGUUUUUCAGAAACAUUCGCUUAGGUCUAAUUAUGACUGAUAUAGUAGAGAGCAGUGCACCCACCUUCCUAAACGAUCUGCAGCACACAACACUCAUUUUGAUUGGGAUUAUUGGUGAUAAGUCUGACACAGUGUGAGGUACAUUUAUACAAGGUGAUUUUUAUUAUUGGAGGAGCUCUGCAAUUUCAUCAUGUGACUAGAGUGCACCUUUAAAAUAUGGGAUGAUGUUGCCCCCUGCUGGUUGUAAAAUAAUGUUCUCUGUUGAUGUGACUUCUAGUUCACCUGACAUUUGCUUCGCUGUGUCUGUCUAAAUUGUAUUUACUUUAUUCCUCAUAUCCUCUCUCCUCGUCUCCUUCUGGUUACCUUUCCUUUCAUCUCCUUGAAUGUGUUAUGAGGUGUCAAGGAAAGACAACAUUUGGGAAAUAGUACUCUGUUUCACUUGUCUUCUGUAUGAUCAUUUGAACCAUUAUAAUAUGGGUUGCUUGUGACAAUGGCCGUCUUUUUUAAAUAAAUAAAAAUGUUAUUGAAUGUUAUUCACUUGAAAUUUACUUUGGCACAUUUUGGUAUGAAGGCACAUAUAGUACACAUCUUGGGAUGGGCCCUAGUUAAUAAUAGUGCUUUAUGUGUAAAAUGGUUCCCACAUGUUAUGAAGUAAACAUUAACAAUGCAUUGCACCUCAUAUCCCAUGAGACUAAGGGAUGCAUCCUAAUGUAGGUCACAGGUGAAGGUUUAGAUUGGUGUUCUCUAAUUUUCUCUUCAAUGUAGGCCAAUGGGUCAUAUGUAUGUAAGUUAUAUAUCUGCUAUGUGGUUUACUUCCUGCUAGACAAAGAAAUAUGAUAAAGUGUAGAUGAGUCCUCAAAGAAGAAGCAUGUUUGUAUUCACAAAAAAAUACAUGAGGACUAAACAAGGUACCUAACUUUUUUACAGCAAUCUAAAGAGCAUUCAGCAUGCAUUGCACAUUCAGAUCAUUCUAUUUUACUGUAACAGUUCAGUGGUGCUAUGCGUACUUAUAUAAGGCUAUGUAUGAAUAAUUACAUAAUGGUUGUCUGGAGACACUGUAUUUUUCUGAGUGUUUGCAGUGUGUGCGCGUUUCUUUAAUGAAGGACUUCCAUUGGCAAGGUAAGACUGCAGAGUCAAACUUUCUCUCUUUAUGCAUUUAUGUUGGGCUUUGCAUUUCAAUUACAUGACAUUCAUUCACAUGUCGGGAGAUGGUAUGAAAUAAUAAAUGUUAUUUAAGCCCAAAUAGAAUCUUAAAACUUUUUGUAUUCAUGUAAAGUAUUUUGACCUCAAAUAUCUAAAUGUGGAUAUAAUAUUGGCCGAGAUUACUCAAUAUCUUGAAUAACGUCUCUGACUCUGAACAUGGGCUUUUUUGUUCACCCUCUAGUGAAGAAGAGGAUUAAUGUACAGGAGUGUUGCACUGUGGUUGUAUGGAUCUAACAAUAAGCUGAUGUUUGGAUCUGGAGUGAAACUCAUUGUGCAAUCCCGUAAGUAGGAUCUAUUGUUUUCAAUAUUGUUGACAUUUCCAUCUCUGUUAUUAUGCAGAAAAUUGUUGUCUUAAAAAAAAAAAAGGUGAUUCUCACUAAAUCUAAUAUCAGCAAUUCUGAACAAUGGUCUAUAUGUAAUACCGGAAUAUCAUCAGCUGUCCUAAAUACAAUAUUUAGAUUAGUUGUCCUUUAAAAUAUUGUUGUCCUUUAAAAUAUCUGAUUUGAAAAUGGUCCAUAGUCACUAGAGUAAUUGUCAUGGUGUGUAGGUCAGUGUGAAUGCUCAAGGGGGAAGACAGAUUUAUUUUGGGAAUGGAAUCAAAAUGAUUGUGGAGACACGUAAGUUUAAUCUUCUUGCUUAAAUCCUGUCCUUAACCUUCUUGCUUAAAUCCUGUACUAAAAUAUAUAUUUUUUCCAAUAAAUAUAUUCCUAAAAAGUCUGCGUACUGUUAAUGUACAUAAAAUGAUUUAUUUUGGUGUGAAUAUUUUUUAGUAUAAAAAUAGUGACUCUAAAUGUCUAGUAAAAUGGCUAGAUAAACCAGAAUUUAGUGAGCAGGAAUUCACUAUGUGAGAACAACAACAAACAAAAUUACAUUUGGAACUGAGAUACUACUAUGGGUAGAGAAAGGUGAGAUUUGUUUUCAGUAUAACUUUCAGAUUAUAACAAAGAUUUAAGAUUUUUACUCUUGUACCUAAAUACAAAGUAGAAUAUAAAAAUGAAGUAACAGGGGCCAAAACUAUUUACAGUGUUGGAUUUCUGUGAAAUAUAGGGAGAAUAUCUAUAUUCAAUACUUAAAAACAUGCUUUAUACAAUCAUUACACAGCAAACUGCAAAACUGUAAUUGUACUACUGUAUUACAUUGUGUGAAUACUGGGGCAGGAGGAAAACUUAUAUUUGCUAGUGGAACCAAACUUUUUGUUAAUACUGGUAAGUGAUCUAUCCAUCAGUAUCACUGAAACCUUUCUAUCUUUUUAGUGCAUCUUUUAUAGAAAAUCUGUUUUCACAGGUAUAUAAGGUUUUCAAACAUUUUAUGCUGGAAUUAUAUAACCUGUGCAUUGGGGGUUUAUAUAAUGAUGUGUCAUGCAGUGUGAAUGAUGCCGGCACAAAGAUUAUUUUUGGGAAAGGCACAAGAUUACUAAUAUUAAGUGGUGAGUAAAAUGUAGUGAAGUCAAAUACUCUGUUUAAAC